GAUGAACGCUGGCGGCGUGCCUAAUACAUGCAAGUCGAGCGAACGGAUGAGAAGCUUGCUUCUCUGAUGUUAGCGGCGGACGGGUGAGUAACACGUGGAUAACCUACCUAUAAGACUGGGAUAACUUCGGGAAACCGGAGCUAAUACCGGAUAAUAUUUUGAACCGCAUGGUUCAAAAGUGAAAGACGGUCUUGCUGUCACUUAUAGAUGGAUCCGCGCUGCAUUAGCUAGUUGGUAAGGUAACGGCUUACCAAGGCAACGAUGCAUAGCCGACCUGAGAGGGUGAUCGGCCACACUGGAACUGAGACACGGUCCAGACUCCUACGGGAGGCAGCAGUAGGGAAUCUUCCGAAAUGGGCGAAAGCCUGACGGAGCAACGCCGCGUGAGUGAUGAAGGUCUUCGGAUCGUAAAACUCUGUUAUUAGGGAAGAACAUAUGUGUAAGUAACUGUGCACAUCUUGACGGUACCUAAUCAGAAAGCCACGGCUAACUACGCG
rnacentral:rRNA from 1 species